GUGGACCAGUCAUAGUCAGUACAUUCAUCUCCAGAUAGCUAGGUGGACCAGUCAUAGUCAGUCCAUUCAUCUCCAGAUAGCUAGGUGGACCAGUCAUAGUCAGUACAUUCAUCUCCAGAUAGCUAGGUGGACCAGUCAUAGUCAGUACAUUCAUCUCCAGAUAGCUAGGUGGACCAGUCAUAGUCAGUCCAUUCAUCUCCAGAUAGCUAGGUGGACCAGUCAUAGUCAGUCCAUUCAUCUCCAGAUAGCUAGGUGGACCAGUCAUAGUCAGUACAUUCAUCUCCAGAUAGCUAGGUGGACCAGUCAUAGUCAGUACAUUCAUCUCCAGAUAGCUAGGUGGACCAGUCAUAGUCAGUCCAUUCAUCUCCAGAUAGCUAGGUGGACCAGUCAUAGUCAGUCCAUUCAUCUCCAGAUAGCUAGGUGGACCAGUCAUAGUCAGUACAUUCAUCUUCAGAUAGCUAGGUGGACCAGUCCAUAGUCAGUACAUACACCCAACAGCAUUCUUCUCGCUGCGUCAUCGUCGGG
rnacentral:lncRNA from 1 species